GCGGGCAGCCUUCUCUUUCUCUCGUCUCCGUACACUUCCGAGCCCAGAUCGCAUGGACUGGUCAACCCUCCCCGGCGACCUGGUCCGCCUCGUCGCCGGCUACCUCCACGACCCGCUCGACUUCCUCCGCCUCCGCGCGGUCUGCCGCUCCUGGCGCUCCGCCGUCGCAUCCUCGCCCCCUCCCCCCUUCCUCCCCUGGCUCCUCGCUCGCCCCGCGGGGCCCGCCCACGCCACCGCCUCCCUUUCCUUCUUUUCCCUCGCCUCCGGCGCCGUCCGUUCCGUCCCCGCCCCCUCGUCCUCCCACCGCCUCCUCGGCCCCACCCGCUCCCACCUCCUCCUCUCCGACACCACCCGCCACCUCCUCCUGCUCAACCCCCUCACCGGCGCUCGGCUCCCCCUCCCCGACUCACCUUUCCCCGCCUCCAACCCCGUCAUCCAGGGCUACCUCAUCCCCGCGGCCGCCGAUGACGACUCCCCGGCGCCGGUGGUGCUGUACAACGCCAGGAAGCUCUUUUUCCACUUCGAUUUCAUGGCUGGGUGUGAACCCACAACGAAGCCUGUGGAUAGGGAUGGCUGGACGGAGGUGCUGGUGCCGGACCUUGUCGCCGAGAACAUGUACCACGACGGGAAGCUGUUCGUAUGCGACGACCGCGGGCAAGUCACGGUCUUCGACGCAGCCACGCUGGCCGUGGUCGGCGCCGUGCCACCGCCGCCGACACCUGCGGCACCUCCGCGCAGGGAUGCCUUCAACUUCAAGUGCACGGCCUUCGUGCCAUCUGGGCAUGAGCUGCUGUGCGUGAUCCGGCACUUCGCCAACAAUGAGCGUGGAGAGUUGCUGGAGUAUUGCCGUGGCGGGUUGGAGGUGUACCAGCUGGAGAUGGAAAUUGAGAAGGAGGACCAGCCGCCACAACCGCAGUGGGUUCGAAUGAGGAGCAUUGGUGACAGGAUGUUGUUUAUUGGACUGUUCCAGGGAUUCUCCUUCAGCGCAGCCGAUUUCCCUGGGUUUAAAGGGGAUUGCAUCUAUUUCUUCAAGCUGGAGAGGGACAAGAGGUCUUGCAUCUACAGGUUUAGCAUGGAGGAUGGCCGCACCGAGGAGCUGUCUGGCCCAUGGAUGCAUGCUUGCACUUGGUUUGUGCCGAGCUUGUCUUAGCACUUGCUAUGGACGAACAAGUCCAAGGUUUGUAUAGCUCCUCUGAGAUCAAAUUCAUUGUUCAUCAUCUGAGAAAACUAAACUAUGGAACAUCAAAUUAGAAGAGUAUGCAAUUAUCAUGGUGGAAGAGAAAUACAGGAAAAUUGGAUGCAGUUAUCUGGAUGCUGGAGCAGGCAUGCGCAGCACGAGCAGUGGAGGGACACAGAUUGGAUGAAAAUCAAUAUUGAUGGGGUCUUUGUUGAACAGUCAUGCAGCCUGUAGCAGUCAUUGGAUUUGUGACCCAUGAUGAAAAGAAAGGUGAGAUAUUUGCUACAUGGAGAGCCCCUUUUCAUCGUGUUCCUCCUCAUCAGAAGUCAAAGCCCCUGACCUGUGAGGAGGGUAUCUAUUUGGUGGCUCUGCAUAUACAUGCCACAUUGUUGUGUAGGAUUGCAGCAGGGUAGAGCAUGAUUUCAAGCUGACAAGCAUACAUGAUGUGUCCAGAAUUGGGAUCAACUGGAGGUGAAGGAGCUGUCGCAGACUUCCAGAAGAUCAAUGUUCAGCUUUCAAGAUGCAGUUGCGCAUCAAAGGAGUUAUGGUCGGUAUGAAAACUGCAUUUGAAACAGAUUGGUUGCAAGGAAUUUCUCUGAUUGUCUCUCAGAAGCAAGCAUUCCCAACGCACCUUCCUUAAGGAUUAGCAAAACAUGAAGCUCACCCGAUGUGCGGGUGACAGUAUAUAAGUUGAUAUUUUCCGUGAUUAUUGGAUAAUCAACUUGUACCAGGCUGCAAACUCUUGGGCCUCCCUGAUGAUUUUACAACUCAGAGAGUUAAUGAGCUUGUGGUCCCAGGAAGUAAUUAGUGCAAUGAAAAGUCAAGGCUUCUGAUUUGUGGUUGACAUAGCUUCUUGGUUGCAACAGGGAGAUGAGUUUUUUUGGCUUGAUCAUAUGAGAAAUGCAGGAAGUAGUAAUCCUGUCAAUUUACUUUUUGUUAGCAAGUGACAAGAAAGAGGAGCAGCAUCAGCAGGCUCCAUGAUACUGUUCAUUGAUGAUCACAAACCCUUAAGCAAAGGGUAUGGUCUAUACAUCUGCCCAAAGAUCAUGUGGUUUGGUUGCUGAGGUCAUCAUUUCAAAUUGUAAUCUCCUGAGGUAAAAAAUAAAAUAUGAGCACUCACACCUGAGGUUCAGUCA